GGAAGGCCUGAGGAGAGGGCAAGAGAGGAAAGGCCAGUCAGUGGAGCAAUAAGUACAGACAAAAUAUUUAUGGAUUAAGUUCACCACCUUAAGUCCAGGUGUGGUGGCUUACACCUGUAAUCCCAGCAUUUUGGGAGGACUAGUUGGGCAGAUAACUUGAGUUCAGGAGUUCGAGGCCAGCCUGGGCAACACAGCAAAACCCUAAAAAAAAAAAAAAAAAAAUCACCAUCUUUUACAGGUGUGGUUAGUGACAUACCAAAAACAAUCACAAUAGGAACAUCAAAGACUGGUCACAUCUAUAAUAAUAGAGAAGUUUGAAAUACUCUGAGUAUUAUCAAAAUGCAAUGCAAAGACCCAAAGUAAACCAAUGCUACUGAAAAAAUGGCACAGAUAGACUUGCUCAAUGCAGAGUUAACACAACACUUGAAUUUGUAAAAAGCACAAUAUCUAUGUGCUUACUUACUGAGUUGAUAUAACACUUUAUCAGGGCAUUAAAGGAACAAGCUAUG
rnacentral:lncRNA from 1 species